UCCCCUUUUCUUUAGCCAGCGCGCUCGUAAGCGUCGAUCCCUUUUAUGGUAGAAUGUAUAAAAGCAAUGAAUUGACUGGAGGUCAAUCAUUCAACUCUCCGUACUCGUUGUCUUCGCUUUAUUCACGAUGAAUACAAAACUCGCGGUUAUCUUUGUUGUCUUUUUGCUCAUUGCAGCUGUGGGAUUCACACAGGCCGAUUGGUUGGACGAUCUAAACGAAGGAACGAGUCAAGUAGUUAAUGCGGUGAAUGAAAAUGCGGGGAAGAUCAAUAAAAUUGCUACAAAUAUUGAUGCCCUUGGAAAGAUACUAAAAACUUUGGAUCCAGAUUCGAAUGAAGAGGAAUAAUUUGUUUUUUAUUAUUUUUAGUUUUAACGAAAGAUUUUCAUUGGCUGUGUAAUCUCUGUAGAAUUAGUACAUUUUUGAAAAUGUCAAAGAAUUUAUAACUUUAGAAUAUUUAAUAGUUUUUAAUAAGAUACAGGAAAAAUGUUUUAUUGGUCUUUUUAAUAUUAAUGAUAUACAUAAAUAAUGAAUAAAAUUUUAAAAUAUACUA